rnacentral:tRNA from 1 species
UAGCUCAGUCAGUAGAGCAUGAGAUUCUUAAUCUCAGGAUAGUGGGUUCGUGCCUCAC